AGAGUUUGAUCCUGGCUCAGGACGAACGCUGGCGGCGUGCCUAACACAUGCAAGUCGAGCGAUGAAACCCUUCGGGGUGGAUUAGCGGCGGACGGGUGAGUAACACGUGGGUAACCUGCCUCAAAGAGGGGGAUAGCCUCCCGAAAGGGAGAUUAAUACCGCAUAACAUUAGUUUUUCGCAUGAAGAACUAAUUAAAGGAGUAAUCCGCUUUGAGAUGGACCCGCGGCGCAUUAGCUAGUUGGUGAGGUAAAGGCUCACCAAGGCGACGAUGCGUAGCCGACCUGAGAGGGUGAUCGGCCACAUUGGAACUGAGACACGGUCCAGACUCCUACGGGAGGCAGCAGUGGGGAAUAUUGCACAAUGGGCGAAAGCCUGAUGCAGCAACGCCGCGUGAGUGAUGAAGGCCUUCGGGUUGUAAAGCUCUGUCUUUUGGGACGAUAAUGACGGUACCAAAGGAGGAAGCCACGGCUAACUACGUGCCAGCAGCCGCGGUAAUACGUAGGUGGCGAGCGUUGUCCGGAUUUACUGGGCGUAAAGGAUGCGUAGGCGGAUAUUUAAGUGAGAUGUGAAAUACCCGAGCUUAACUUGGGUGCUGCAUUUCAAACUGGAUAUCUAGAGUGUGGGAGAGGAGAAUGGAAUUCCUAGUGUAGCGGUGAAAUGCGUAGAGAUUAGGAAGAACACCAGUGGCGAAGGCGAUUCUCUGGACCAUAACUGACGCUGAGGCAUGAAAGCGUGGGUAGCAAACAGGAUUAGAUACCCUGGUAGUCCACGCCGUAAACGAUGAGUACUAGGUGUAGGGGGGUCCAACCCUCUGUGCCGCAGUUAACACAAUAAGUACUCCGCCUGGGAAGUACGAUCGCAAGAUUAAACUCAAAUGAAUUGACGG
rnacentral:rRNA from 1 species